CCCCCGCCCCAGUACAACACCUCUGCACCUAUGAACUAUACACCAGUAUUGAACAGUGCUCCUCCUGGUCCUGAACUCCCGCCCACUGCAGCCCUGCUCACACCUCACCCUGAGUCGCAGCCGUCUAUUUCUAUGGAUAUCCUUAACUCCAGUGACACUGGUGUCCAGUUUGACAUUAACAAAGGAAAGUCUUCAGGCAGCAACUUUCUGUAGUUGCUCCAAAAUCCUGAAUUAUCAGUGCAAGAAGUAUAAAAACACCUGAUUAGAUUCAUUCAACAUCUCAGCCUUAAAAAAAGAACCAAUAGGAUCUUAAAUAAAACUUGUUUUAGUGUCUUAUGAGAUAAGCAGAUGAUAUAUAUAUAAAUUUAUAUAAAAAUGUACUGUAUCUAGAAUCUUAAUGAAAUUUUUACCUCAACACCAUUAGUUAUGGCCUACCUCCACCUUUCAGGCUAAAGAGGGUAUAUUCUAUACUUUUGUGUAGAACUACAUGUAAUAAGCAGUUUUUUAUUUGACUAUUGUACACAUCUAUAUGCUAUAGAUAGAUAGUUUUAAUGUUUUGCCAGCUAUAUGCUUACCUCGGUCUUCUGAGAGAUGUAGAGUUGUGCAACAACAACAUAAAUCUGUAACCUGAGAAAACUAAAAUAUACAAUGUUUUUUUUUUUUACCUGCUUAAACCACAGCAAUCUGAUCAUGUGAAAACAUUACAGGAUUUAUGGAUUUAUUAUUUACUUGAAUACAUAUAAUGCAUGUUACUAAAAAUGCAUGCAAGAGAAUUGAAAUGUAUUAAAAUAGUGUUUCAGGGAAUUUUCUCAACUACCGUGCCAGUAGAUGCAUUUCUUUAGGACCUUUUCAUAGUGCUUUUAGUUAGUUAGAACAUAAAAAAUGCUGCACAUUUAUACUUGAAUCUUGAUAAUAUGUGUGACAUUUUGUAUUAUGAUUUUUGUUGUAGCUAAAUAUAGAUGCCUUACUUUAACUGCCCUUCAUAUUGCAAUGUACACUGAGACAACAAAGGCCUACCAUUGUUCUUUUAAUAAAAUACUGCUAUAAAUUUCUGAACCAGGGUUGCAU